rnacentral:rRNA from 1 species
GUAGUUAGCCGGGGCUUCCUCCUUGGCUACCGUCACUUUCUUCGUCACCAAGGACAGAGGUUUACAAUCCGAAGACCUUCUUCCCUCACGCGGCGUUGCUGGGUCAGGGUUUCCCCCAUUGCCCAAUAUUCCCCACUGCUGCCUCCCGUAGGAGUCUGGACCGUGUCUCAGUUCCAGUGUGGCCGAUCACCCUCUCAGGUCGGCUACUGAUCGUUGACUUGGUGAGCCGUUACCUCACCAACUAUCUAAUCAGACGCGAGCCCACCCCUUACCGGAUUGCUCCUUUGACCUCUGUUUCACUCGAAACCGUGGUCUUAUGCGGUAUUAGCACAACUUUCGCUGCGUUAUCCCCCUGUAAGGGACAGGUUGCUCACGCGUUACUCACCCGUCCGCCGCUCGAAUCAUAUCAGAUUACUCCUCUAUGACCCUCGCUCGACUUGCAUGUGUUAGGCACGCCGCCAGCGUUCGUCCUGAGCCACGAAUCAAACUACUGA